rnacentral:rRNA from 1 species
AUCAGCCGGUACUCGCGAAUGCUCUAGAUUAAAGUUUGAUCAUGGGCUCAGACUUGAAGCGCUUNGGCGGCAGUGCCUAACACAUGCAAGUCGAACGGUAGCACAGAGAGCUUGCUCUCGGGUGACGAGUGGCGGACGGGUGAGUAAUGUCUGGGAAACUGCCCGAUGGAGGGGGAAUAUACUAUCUGGAAACGGUAGGCUAAUACCGCAUAUACGAUCGCAAGACCAAAGAGGGGGAACCUUCGGGCCUCUUGCCAUCGGGAUGUGUCCCAGAUGGGAUUAGCUUGGUAGGGUGAGGUAACGGCUCGACCUAGGCGACGAUCCCUAGCUGGGUCUGAGAAGGAUGACCAGCGCACACUGGGAACUGAGACACGGUCCAGACUCCUACGGGAGGCAGCAGUGGGGAAUAUUGCACAAUGGGCGCAAGCCUGAUGCAGCCAUGCCGCGUGUAUGAAGAAGGCCUUCGAGGUUGUAAAGUACUUUUCAAGCGGGGAGGAAGGG